GACGAACGCUGGCGGCGUGCUUAACACAUGCAAGUCGAACGGAAAGGCCCUGCUUUUGUGGGGUGCUCGAGUGGCGAACGGGUGAGUAACACGUGAGUAACCUGGCCUUGACUUUGGGAUAACUUCAGGAAACUGGGGCUAAUACCGGAUAGGAGCUCCUGCUGCAUGGUGGGGGUUGGAAAGUUUCGGCGGUUGGGGAUGGACGCGCGGCUUAUCAGCUUGUUGGUGGGGGAGUGGCUUACCAAGGCUUCGACGGGUAGCCGGCCUGAGAGGGUGACCGGCCACCUUGGGACUGAGAUACGGCCCAGACUCCUACGGGAGGCAGCAGUGGGGAAUCUUGCACAAUGGGCGGAAGCCUGAUGCAGCAACGCCGCGUGCGGGAUGACGGCCUUCGGGUUGUAAACCGCUUUCGCCUGUGACGAAGCGUGAGUGACGGUAAUGGGUAAAGAAGCACCGGCUAACUACGUG
rnacentral:rRNA from 1 species